rnacentral:rRNA from 1 species
UGCGUAGGUGGCUUGGUAAGUCAGAUGUGAAAGCCCGGGGCUCAACCCCGGAAUUGCAUCCGAUACUGCCGAGCUAGAGUACUGAAGGGGAAACUAGAAUUCUCGGUGUAGCAGUGAAAUGCGUAGAUAUCGAGAGGAAUACCAAAGGCGAAGGCAGGUUUCUUGGCAGUUACUGACACUGAGGCACGAAGGCCAGGGGAGCAAACG